CUACGGGUGGCUGCAGUGGGGAAUAUUGGACAAUGGGGGAAACCCUGAUCCAGCAAUACCGCGUGUGUGAAGAAGGCCCGCGGGUUGUAAAGCACUUUCAGUAGGGAGGACUGGUUUUAGGAUUAAUACUCGUGGAACUUGACGUUACCUUCAGAAGAAGCACCGGCUAACUCGGUGCCAGCAGCCGCGGUAAUACGGAGGGUGCAAGCGUUAAUCGGAAUUACUGGGCGUAAAGCGCGCGUAGGUGGUUAGAUCAGUUGGGUGUGAAAGCCCCGGGCUUAACCUGGGAAUUGCAUCCGAUACUGUCUGGCUAGAGUAUAGGAGAGGGGAGUGGAAUUCCGCAUGUAGCGGUGAAAUGCGUAGAGAUGCGGAGGAACACCACUGGCGAAGGCGGCUCUCUGGUCAGAUACUGACACUGGGGUGCGAAAGCGUGGGGAGCAAACAGGAUUAGAUACCCGAGUAGUC
rnacentral:rRNA from 1 species